UUUAAAUUGAGAGUUUGAUCCUGGCUCAGGACGAACGCUGGCGGCGUGCCUAACACAUGCAAGUCGAGCGAGGGGAGUUCUUCGGAACAAACCUAGCGGCGGACGGGU
rnacentral:rRNA from 1 species